CAUGUGUGGCCUAUUUCACGUGAAUUCUAACGGUACAAAUAAACACAGAUUUUAAGGAGUAAAAUUGUAGAAGUUCUGCUCUUCUAAGCAGCCUUAUCUCCCGGAGCCAUCGAGAUUUCAGGUCUCUCUUGAUUAUAUUAACUACAACCGAAGAUCAACGGUCUUCAAAUUUCUUUACCUUCGCUUGAGGGGUUCGUCACAGUGUCACGUGACUGUAACUCCUGGUAUGCUGGGACAAA